GAUGAACGCUGGCGGCAGGCUUAACACAUGCAAGUCGAACGCCCCGCAAGGGGAGUGGCAGACGGGUGAGUAACGCGUGGGAACGUGCCCUUCACCUCGGAAUAGUCCCGGGAAACUGGGUUUAAUACCGAAUACGCCGUAUUGGGAAAGAUUUAUCGCCUUUAGAGCGGCCCGCGUCUGAUUAGCUAGUUGGUGAGGUAAAGGCUCACCAAGGCGACGAUCAGUAGCUGGUCUGAGAGGAUGAUCAGCCACAUUGGGACUGAGACACGGCCCAAACUCCUACGGGAGGCAGCAGUGGGGAAUCUUGCGCAAUGGGCGAAAGCCUGACGCAGCCAUGCCGCGUGAAUGAUGAAGGUCUUAGGAUUGUAAAAUUCUUUCACCGGGGACGAUAAUGACGGUACCCGGAGAAGAGGCCCCGGCUAACUUCGUGCCAGCCGCCGCCGUAAGAC
rnacentral:rRNA from 1 species